ACGAACGCUGGCGGCGUGCUUAACACAUGCAAGUCGAACGGAAAGGCCUCUUUCGGGGGGUACUCGAGUGGCGAACGGGUGAGUAACACGUGAGUAACCUGCCCUUGACUUUGGGAUAACUUCAGGAAACUGGGGCUAAUACCGGAUAGGAGCUCCUGCUGCAUGGUGGGGGUUGGAAAGUUUCGGCGGUUGGGGAUGGACUCGCGGCUUAUCAGCUUGUUGGUGGGGUAGUGGCUUACCAAGGCUUUGACGGGUAGCCGGCCUGAGAGGGUGACCGGCCACAUUGGGACUGAGAUACGGCCCAGACUCCUACGGGAGGCAGCGGUGGGGAAUAUUGCACAAUGGGUGGAAGCCUGAUGCAGCAACGCCGUGUGCGGGAUGACGGCCUUCGGGUUGUAAACCGCUUUCGCUCAUGACGAAGCUUUGUGUGACGGUAGUGGGUAAAGAAGCACCGGCUAACUACGUG
rnacentral:rRNA from 1 species